rnacentral:rRNA from 1 species
AACGAACGCUGGCGGCAGGCUUAACACAUGCAAGUCGAGCGCCCCGCAAGGGGAGCGGCAGACGGGUGAGUAACGCGUGGGAAUCUACCCAUCUCUACGGAAUAACGCAUGGAAACGUGUGCUAAUACCGUAUACGUCCUUCGGGAGAAAGAUUUAUCGGAGAUGGAUGAGCCCGCGUUGGAUUAGCUAGUGGGGGGGGUAAAGGCCUACCAAGGCGACGAUCCAUAGCUGGUCUGGGAGGAUGAACAGCCACACUGGGACUGAGACACGGCCCAGACUCCGACGGGGGGCAGCAGUGGGGAAUAUUGGACAAUGGGCGCAAGCCUGAGCCGGCCAUGCCGCGUGAGUGGUGAAGGCCCUAGGGUUGUAAAGCUCUUUCACCGGUGAAGAUAAUGACGGUAACCGGAGAAGAAGCCCCGGCUAACUUCGUGCCAGCCGCCGCGGUAACAC